UGCUUUAUCCUGAGAUGGGCUGAGCUGUUCUGUAAGUGCUACUCCUUUUGGGAUAUGUGAUAGGAAUGGGAAGGAAAGCCUGGAGUACAACAUCCAACACCACGCUGAGGUGUACGAAUGUGUCCCUUGAAGACGUGCAGUCAUUCUUCCACGCUACUGAACGGCAGCAAAGCCUGACGCGGAAUUCAUGAGAGACGUCCUCCAGCUGAUGCACGUCUGGAAGUGAACAAUUCGUGUUACAAUUAAGUCCUGCACUGAAUAUAUUAUUGCUUUGAGAAGAGCCGGGACGAUUCUUUGUGAAGGCGCCUUCUGGCUGCCCUGGGAGAGCUCCUCAGACAGCCCUGAGACAGGCUGGCAAGUCACAUAAACCUUAAGUACGUGCCUCUGAGAAUGGAAGAUUCCCUGGGAAGCCUCAAUCUCUCGUUGUGUUACGGCCUGAUUAUCAAACAGACAAUUUACAUCUUAUUAGGUGUUUCCAUCUGUUGAUAGAAAAAUGCCCGAUUGCAUAACGUUCAUUUUGCUCCUGUU